ACGGCCUACCAAGGCGACGAUCAGUAGCCGACCUGAGAGGAUGACCGGCCACAUUGGGACUGAGACACGGCCCAAACUCCUACGGGAGGCAGCAGUGGGGAAUAUUGCACAAUGGGGGAAACCCUGAUGCAGCGACGCCGCGUGAAGGAAGACGUAUUUCGGUAUGUAAACUUCUAUCAGCAAGGAAGAUGAUGACGGUACUUGACUAAGAAGCCCCGGCUAACUAC
rnacentral:rRNA from 1 species